AACGAACGCUGGCGGCGUGCCUAACACAUGCAAGUCGAACGCGAACGGCCUUCGGGCCUAGUAGAGUGGCGCACGGGUGAGUAACGCGUGGGUAAUCUGCCCUUGGGUGGGGGAUAACGUUCCGAAAGGAACGCUAAUACCGCAUAAGGCCACAGCUCUACGGAGCGGUGGGAAAAGGUGGGGACCUGGACCUCGGUCUGGACCUGCCGCCUGGGGAUGAGCCCGCGUGCCAUUAGGUAGUUGGUGGGGUAAUGGCCCACCAAGCCAAAGAUGGCUAGCUGGUCUGAGAGGAUGAUCAGCCACACUGGGACUGAGACACGGCCCAG
rnacentral:rRNA from 1 species